AUACGGUCAUACAACGUUGAAACACCGGUUCUCGUAUGAUCACCAAAGUUAAGCAACGUCGAACUUGGUCAGUACUUAGAUGGAUGACCGCUUGGGAAUACCAAUUGC